rnacentral:pre_miRNA from 1 species
GAUUUCAACUGAAAAAUUCAUCAACAACAAAGUUGUAUAACUUAUCAAAAUCUAUAACUUUUAUGUUUGUCAUUUCUUCAUCCGACAAAGUAUUAGUAACAUUGUUCACAAAAUUUACAUAUUUGUGUUAUAGUUUAUAAAACUAGAUGAGAGAUAUGUGAAUUUUGUGAACAACAAAAUUCACAACAUUACUAUCACUUUGUCGGAUGAAGAAAUGACAAAAAUAAAAGUUAUAGAUCUUGAUGAGUUAUACAACUUUGUUGUUGAUGACUUUUUCAGUUGAAAUC